UACGUAGGGGGCUAGCGUUGUCCGGAAUCAUUGGCGUAAAGCGCGUGUAGGCGGUUCGGUAAGUCCGCUGUGAAAGUCGGGGGCUCAACCCUCGAAAGCCGGUGGAUACUGUCGGGCUAGAGUACGGAAGAGGCGAGUGGAAUUCCUGGUGUAGCGGUGAAAUGCGCAGAUAUCAGGAGGAACACCGGUGGCGAAGGCGGGUCUCUGGGCCGAUACUGACGCUGAGGAGCGAAAGCGUGGGGAGCGAACAGG
rnacentral:rRNA from 1 species